UGCGGCGCGCCAGAGCGCAGGACUUCCUGGGAGGCAGUCGAGGAGCCCUGGCUUUACAAAGAAAAGCAAAUGAAAGAUGCACUGCGAGAGGCGGGAGGAAGAAACCCUGAGUCUCCCGAGACUCAAAGUUCUCCUGCAGAAUAGAAGCCGAAUAUGACUGAGUUGAGAGAGUCGGAGGGAAGGGGAGUUGAUUUAAUGGACUCGGAUGGCCAUGGCAGUUUCUCUUCCAUUCUUCGGCCACACACACAGAAGCGCAAACUAUGUUUCAG
rnacentral:lncRNA from 1 species